rnacentral:rRNA from 1 species
UUGAACGCUGGCGGCAUGCUCUACACAUGCAAGUCGAACGGUAACAGGCCGCAAGGUGCUGACGAGUGGCGAACGGGUGAGUAAUGCAUCGGAACGUGCCCAGUCGUGGGGGAUAACUACUCGAAAGAGUAGCUAAUACCGCAUACGAUCUAUGGAUGAAAGCGGGGGACCGUAAGGGCUCGCGCGAUUGGAGCGGCCGAUGUCAGAUUAGGUAGUUGGUGGGGUAAAGGCUCACCAAGCCAACGAUCUGUAGCUGGUCUGAGAGGACGACCAGCCACACUGGGACUGAGACACGGCCCAGACUCCUACGGGAGGCAGCAGUGGGGAAUUUUGGACAAUGGGCGCAAGCCUGAUCCAGCAAUGCCGCGUGCAGGAAGAAGGCCUUCGGGUUGUAAACUGCUUUUGUACGGAACGAAACGGCUCUGGUUAAUACCCGGGGCUAAUGACGGUACCGUAAGAAUAAGCACCGGCUAACUACGUG